CCUACGGGAGGCAGCAGUAGGGAAUUUUGCGCAAUGGGCGAAAGCCUGACGCAGCAACACCGCGUGAAUGUUAAGCCCUUCGGGGUGUAAAGUUCUGUCAAUAGGGACGAAUUUUGACUGUACCUAUAAAGGAAGCACCGGCUAACUCCGUGCCAGCAGCCGCGGUAAUACGGGGGGUGCAAGCGUUGUCCGGAAUCAUUGGGUGUAAAGGGUGCGUAGGCGGCUUUGCAAGUCAGAAGUGAAAUCCAUGGGCUUAACCCAUGAACUGCUUUUGAAACUGCAGAGCUUGAGUGGAGUAGAGGUAGGCGGAAUUACCGGUGUAGCGGUGAAAUGCGUAGAGAUCGGGAGGAACACCAGUGGCGAAGGCGGCCUACUGGGCUCUAACUGACGCUGAGGCACGAAAGCGUGGGUAGCAAACAGGAUUAGAUACCCUGGUAGUC
rnacentral:rRNA from 1 species